rnacentral:rRNA from 1 species
GUCUGGGAAACUGCCUGAUGGAGGGGGAUAACUACUGGAAACGGUAGCUAAUACCGCAUAACGUCGCAAGACCAAAGAGGGGGACCUUCGGGCCUCUUGCCAUCGGAUGUGCCCAGAUGGGAUUAGCUAGUAGGUGGGGUAACGGCUCACCUAGGCGACGAUCCCUAGCUGGUCUGAGAGGAUGACCAGCCACACUGGAACUGAGACACGGUCCAGACUCCUACGGGAGGCAGCAGUGGGGAAUAUUGCACAAUGGGCGCAAGCCUGAUGCAGCCAUGCCGCGUGUAUGAAGAAGGCCUUCGGGUUGUAAAGUACUUUCAGCGGGGAGGAAGGGAGUAAAGUUAAUACCUUUGCUCAUUGACGUUACCCGCAGAAGAAGCACCGGCUAACUCCGUGCCAGCAGCCGCGGUAAUACGGAGGGUGCAAGCGUUAAUCGGAAUUACUGGGCGUAAAGCGCACGCAGGCGGUUUGUUAAGUCAGAUGUGAAAUCCCCGGGCUCAACCUGGGAACUGCAUCUGAUACUGGCAAGCUUGAGUCUCGUAGAGGGGGGUAGAAUUCCAGGUGUAGCGGUGAAAUGCGUAGAGAUCUGGAGGAAUACCGGUGGCGAAGGCGGCCCCCUGGACGAAGACUGACGCUCAGGUGCGAAAGCGUGGGGAGCAAACAGGAUU